ensembl:snRNA U6 U6 spliceosomal RNA
GUGCUCUCUUCCACGACACAUACUAAAAUUGGAACCAUACAGAGAAGAUUAGCACGGUCCCUGCGCAAGGAUGACACGCAAAUUCAUGAAGUAGUUCCAUAAAAG